rnacentral:rRNA from 1 species
GACGAACGCUGGCGGCGUGCCUAAUACAUGCAAGUAGAACGCUGAAGGAGGAGCUUGCUUCUCUGGAUGAGUUGCGAACGGGUGAGUAACGCGUAGGUAACCUGCCUGGUAGCGGGGGAUAACUAUUGGAAACGAUAGCUAAUACCGCAUAAUAGUAGAUGUUGCAUGACAUUUGCUUAAAAGGUGCAAUUGCAUCACUACCAGAUGGACCUGCGUUGUAUUAGCUAGUUGGUGGGGUAACGGCUCACCAAGGCGACGAUACAUAGCCGACCUGAGAGGGUGAUCGGCCAACCGGGGACUGAGACGGGGCCCAGACUCCUGGGGGGGGCAGCGGAGGGGAAUUUGGGGAAAGGGGGGGAGGUCUGACCGGGCAACGCGGGGUGAGUGAAGAAGGUUUUCGGAUGGAAAAGCUUUGUUGAAAGAGAAAAACGAGUGUGAGAGUGAAAAGUUCACACUGGGAGGUUAUUUAACCAAAAGGGGAGGGCUAACUACGUG